GGGAUGUUGCUAAAGUGGUAACACGCUCGCCUGCCAUGCGUGCAUCCCAGGUUCGAUCCUGAGCACCACA
rnacentral:tRNA from 1 species